rnacentral:rRNA from 1 species
AUUGAACGCUGGCGGCAGGCCUAACACAUGCAAGUCGAACGAGUGGCGGACGGGUGAGUAAUGUCUGGGAAACUGCCUGAUGUAGGGGGAUAACUACUGGAAACGGUAGCUAAUACCGCAUACCAUCAGAGUUGCCCAGAUGGGAUUGGCUUGUUGGUGGGGUAACGGCUCACCAAGGCGACGAUCCCUAGCUGGUCUGAGAGGAUGACCAGCCAAACUGGAACUGAGACCCGGUCCAGACUCCUCAGGGAGGCAGCAGUGGUGAAUAUUGCACAAUGGGGGCAAGCCUGAUGCAGCCAGGCCGCGUGUAUGAAGAGGGCCUUCGGGUUGGAAAGUACUUUCAGCGGGGAGGCGUUACCCGCAGAAGAAGCACCGGCUAACUCCGUGCCAGCCGCCGCGGUAAUUC